rnacentral:misc_RNA from 1 species
UGGCAGUGCAACUGCAAGUGAUUCUGUUCCUCCCGUGACCUCAAAUGUUGAUAGCACAGGCCCGCGUCGGCAUUAUCAGCUGCUGCAGACUCAAAAAGCCUUGCUGAAAAGGCUAUUGCAGCACUCCCUCCUGAGCUUAGUGCACAAGCAACUGACCCAAAAAGAAAGGCAAGGUCACAGGACCCAGGAUGGAAGUUUGAGUGGUGGCCAGACACAACAAAGAAGGAUUUUGUUCAGUGUAUUUUCUGUUCGAAGAUUGUUCCUUCCGGAAUCAAAAGGUUCAAGCAGCAUCUUGCCGGUGGGUUUGG